rnacentral:tRNA from 1 species
AAAACAGAAAUAAAUUAAUUUCCAAUUAAUAACAAGCCAAAAGCUCUGUUUUG